rnacentral:rRNA from 1 species
UACGGAGGGUGCGAGCGUUAAUCGGAAUGACUGGGCGUAAAGGGCAUGUAGGCGGAUGAUUAAGUUAGGUGUGAAAGCCCCGAGCUCAACUUGGGAAUUGCACUUAAAACUGGUCGUCUGGAGUAUUGUAGAGGAAGGUAGAAUUCCACGUGUAGCGGUGAAAUGCGUAGAGAUGUGGAGGAAUACCGGUGGCGAAGGCGGCCUUCUGGACAGAUACUGACGCUGAGAUGCGAAAGCGUGGGGAGCAAACAGG